rnacentral:rRNA from 1 species
GUGACGGCCUAACACAUGCAAGUCGAGGGGUAACAGGGGCAGCUUGCUGCCUGCUGACGACCGGCGCACGGGUGAGUAACGCGUAUGCAACCUGUCUUUAACAGGAGGAUAGCCCCCGGAAACGGGGAUUAAUACUCCAUGAUACUUGUGUUUCGCAUGAGAUACAAGUUAAAGCUGAGGCGGUUAAAGGUGGGCAUGCGUGACAUUAGCUAGUUGGUGAGGUAACGGCUCACCAAGGCGACGAUGUCUAGGGGUUCUGAGAGGAAGGUCCCCCACACUGGUACUGAGACACGGACCAGACUCCUACGGGAGGCAGCAGUGAGGAAUCUUGGUCAAUGGGCGGAAGUCUGAACCAGCCAUGUCGCGUGCAGGAAGACGGCCCUACGGGUUGUAAACUGCUUUUGUACGGGAAUAAAAGCCAUUACGAGUAGUGGAUUGAAUGUACCGUACGAAUAAGCAUCGGCUAACUCCGUGCCAGCAGCCGCGGUAAUACGGAGGAUGCGAGCGUUAUCCGGACUUAUUGGGUUUAAAGGGUGCGUAGGCGGAACGGUAAGUCAGCGGUGAAAUACUACAGCUCAACUGUAGGGAUGCCGAUGAUACUGUCAUUCUUGAGUAUACUUGAGGCAUGCGGAAUGAGUAGUGUAGCGGUGAAAUGCAUAGAUAUUACUCAGAACACCGAUAGCGAAGGCAGCAUGCUAAGGUAAUACUGACGCUGAGGCACGAAAGCGUGGGUAUCAAACAGGAUUAGAUACCCUGGUAGUCCACGCCGUAAACGAUGAUUACUGGUUGUUUGUCCGUUAAAGGAUAAGCGACUGAGCGNAAAGCAUUAAGUAUCCCACCUGGGGAGUACGUCGGCNACGAUGAACUCAAAGGAAUUGACGGGGGCCCNCCCA